AUUUGGGGAGCAGACAGUCCCAAUACCUCUCCCUAGGGAAGGAGGGUUCCAAGAUAAGGGGUUAAUUCUCAGAGGGAAAGCGGGCUGCUAAAGGGCAACCCGAGGGCUCUGCUCUGACCUGGGGUUUGGUUAAUCUCAACAGCUCACCCUGGACGUGGGCUCUGAGAUGCUGCCGAGCUCCCAGACCCAGAGACAGCGUGCACCGUGGCGAUCGUUUCAGAGAAAACCCAAUUUAUUUAGCUUGUAGUGAAGCGUAAGAUUAAACAUGCAGCAGGCUGCUUAUUGCUUAAGGGAGACUCCUGUUCCCCUGCGCUGGGAGCUCUCUUAUUGCUUCCUUUUGUAGGAAUGUGGGUUCUGGCUGAAUCUUCUCCGCUGCCCUUGGGGUCAACUGUGAGACCCUCCCCUCACACAGACGUGUUGUGUGAACACCAGGGAGAGACAAAUAAAUGACCGUUUGGUCAAAUUGGCAGUUCUUCAGAGCGGUGUCUGUACAACCCUGAAAGCCCGGGCUUUCCGAAUGCUGCUGCAAUACAAAUAAUUGCCUUGAUAUGAACUGGCACAUGCUGUGCCCUGGGUCGGCGGGUGGCUUUGUUGGGUGAAAAGGAAUGUGCACUUCAGUGGAAAAGGGUGUUCUGUGCUCUCACAAGCCAGGGGUUUGUAUCAGCAGUGAGGUCUAAAAGCACAGAGAAACAGCAACUGGUGAGAAUUGCUGGCAAAGAAAAUCCAGAAUCCAUCCAGGUGGGGAUGUCUGCUGUGUUUUCACCCGUUGUGUUUGCUUUGGAAGGAGCAGGGGUAAACCAUGCUGGCCGGAAUGGGACAGCCUGGGUGGGAGCCCGCAGCUCAGGAGGUGUCAGAGGAGAUGUGUGAGCAGCACUACCUCCCCCUUUCCUCACUGCUCCAGGAGAUCCUGAAGUCUGGGAGAAAGAGCAGAGCUGGUUUUGGUCUGGUUUUUUUCUCCUCAGAGCCAAACACUCUCUGAAAUGCUAUGGAUGGUCCAUCCCGAGGUCAGACUCCAGCCUGGCCAGCAGCACGAGUGGUGGGUGGCUGCACGGCUCUGCUUGAGCACAGCACCAGUACAACAGGGCAGCCCCGUUCCUUGGCAGCAGAAGACAGCAGUGAAGACUUGUGCCUGCAGAGAAAACAAGGCAAAGCUCCCGUGGUGGACUCAGGAUGAUGAAUGCACAGAGCCCCUCGAGGAGCCGGCUAACCAGGAGAAAGUCGAGAUCAAAGAUAAGCCUCCUAAUCCGAUAGCAGCAAAUGCAAUCAGACUCUCCAUCUGCCAUCAAAGGCCCUCGCAACCCCACGACUGGGAGCCAGCCCCCCGCCUCCUGCCUGCACAGAUGCCUGCUCACCGCCGAGCCUCCCCGUGCCUCUCACCACAUCCAGCCUGGUGUCACCUCAGAUUAGUGGGCUUCUGGCUCAAAGCCUGUGCCUCCUUUCGGAUGAGAGGUGUUUGGAGGGGGGAUGCUCCCUCCUCCGAGCGAGGAGCGAAGUCUGGUUAUUUACUGGUGGUGGAGGAAAUUUAUCAAUCCUCACAAACGCCGAGCGC
rnacentral:lncRNA from 1 species